rnacentral:lncRNA from 1 species
CUAAUCUAUAUUCGUCCCGAAAAAUGGCCGCCAGCAGGAGUUUGAGCCCGCGAAUUCCUGGUGUGACACUAAUCCUUUAAGAUGGAUCGAAAUUAGAGCGAUCACAAAACGAUCAGACGCCGGUUUCUACACUUGCACAAAAAACCUGAGUGAAUUAAUAAGCGCGGAAAAAUGCCAGGCUGCUAAGCAAGAAAUAGACCUUAGAAGUGCUUUCGUCACGCGAUUUUGUGAUACAGAGGAUUUCUGGAAUGCACAAUGCAUUGUGGGAUAUUUUUGGUCAAUAAUUCAUGUCAGUUGAAAAUUACGUGACGUAAGCACUACUAUGUACAUUAGCGCGGUUAUAAACCGACUGGAGACAACCUCAUCCAGUUCAGAUCGACCUCGAAUCAACUCGGUUAGUUGUCCACACUUGGCCCGAUACGGCUCAGAUUUCAGAUCAAUCGUUCAAUGUCCCUUAGUUUCACCUGCAUGCUAGUGUAUAGUAUCUGAACUAUAUGUACUAUUUAAAACACGA